rnacentral:rRNA from 1 species
GUCUGCGGCCACACGACCCUGAACAAGCCCGAUCCCGUCUGAUCUCGGAAGCCGAGCAGCGUCGGGCCUGGUGAGUACUCGGAUGGGAGACCACCCAGGAAGACCAGGUGCUGUAGGCG